GACGAACGCUGGCGGCGUGCUUAACACAUGCCAGUCGAACGGAAAGGCCCUGCUUUUGUGGGGUGCUCGAGUGGCGAACGGGUGAGUAACACGUGAGUAACCUGCCCUUGACUUUGGGAUAACUUCAGGAAACUGGGGCUAAUACCGGAUAGGAGCUCCUGCUGCAUGGUGGGGGUUGGAAAGUUUCGGCGGUUGGGGAUGGACUCGCGGCUUAUCAGCUUGUUGGUGGGGUAGUGUCUUACCAAGGCUUUGACGGGUAGCCGGCCUGAGAGGGUGACCGGCCACAUUGGGACUGCGAUACGGCCCAGACUCCUACGGGAGGCAGCAGUGGGGAAUAUUGCACAAUGGGCGGAAGCCUGAUGCAGCAACGCCGCGUGCGGGAUGACGGCCUUCGGGUUGUAAACCGCUUUCGCCUGUGACGAAGCGUGAGUGACGGUAAUGGGUAAAGAAGCACCGGCUAACUACGUG
rnacentral:rRNA from 1 species